GGGAAAAUAGCUCAAAUAGUAGAGCGUGUGCUUAGCAUGCAGAAGGUACUGGGUUCAAUCCCCAGUACCUCCU
rnacentral:tRNA from 1 species